GCUUUUCUAGUGUAGUGGUCAGCACGCUCGACGCGUAUUCGAGAGGUCCGUGGUUCGAGUCCCGGCAAGGGCA
rnacentral:tRNA from 1 species